GGGGACGGAGCGGGAAAUACUGCUUCCGAGAGAGAAACCACCACUACUCAUGUACUCUGGUCAGGUUGGACCCCAUUCCAUAUGGUGUUCUACAAAGACAGACUUCUCUGAGCAUCCAGACUGAAGUCAGUGUGGCUGACGAUAAGAGUCCAUCAGCAGAGGAAAUCUAAGGUCUCUUCCACUUCAAGAUAAACUGUCCACAUGGAAAAAGUAACAGUUAAGGCUGCCAGACCAAUGGAAGUAGCUUAGAAACUGUUUCAACUACAUAUGAUUAUGACAAGCUUCACAAUGGUAAUGAACAGAUAAUAUAUGGGGCAUUAUUUACUGCUGCCCACUUGUGAUUCAGUGGCUCCACCUUCCACAGAGCUGUCACUCCCCAGGAACUGCAUAACUACUCACUGCUCUUAGUUCAUAUUGAAGAAGAAAAAAAUAAGUAAAGAAGGUGUAUUGUCGGGGUCUUUUGUAAAAACAGUCUGCUUGCAGUAUAAAAACCUGGAGAUUUGCAGAAUGGGCUCUGAAUGUACUCUGAACCCAAGGCAUACAAUUUUCUCUCUCAGCCUAGAGCCUACCUUUUAUUGAUUUUUUUUAUUUUCAUUUAUUUUGUACCUGUAAAGAAUGAGUUUAAAAUACUUUAAAGGUGCUUUGUACAGACUGUUUUGAGGAAACCUAAGAAAAAUUAGCUAUUCAAGAGUAUUUUCACUGAACCUUGAUCUUUAUGUACUUACACAACGCAAUCCGGUGUUAUACACACAGAACUUCUAAUCACCUUUGAACUACAGUCAAAGAUAAAGAUUCAGGGAAUUUAUCAUAGCUGGAUUCCAAAGGACAAAGUUUAAAGCUUUACAGCAGAUAGAGAUUUCAGUGAACUGCAGAAAUGAAGCAACAAAUAUAAGUACUAUUACACACAUGAAGACAAACAAUACUAAUGAAAAAGGUCUAUUUCCAGCAGCUUUCAUUAGGAUGAAACUAUUAACUUUUUAUUUGCUAUGACAUCUUGUUAGCUAGCAAGCUAGAAAUGCAGAGAUCCCUUAUAUUAAAAUUCACAGAAGGAUCAACUCAGGGUUAACAGUAUAACUUAGAUAAACUGAGUAGUGUGGCACUCUGAAUCGCUCUUUUAAGACAUUGCUUUGUAGAAGCAGAAGAGAUAUUGCAUUUCCUAGACUAUUCAGUAUCUGCAUUAACAAUAAGGAUCCAAAAGCAAAUAAUAAAUUGGUAAAAAUUCUCCUAAGUACAUUAAAGUCAACAUCUAUUUCACAAUAACAGUACAUACAGCUUUGGUUAUAUUCUUAUGAUAGCACCAACGAGCUCCAGACAGAAUGUAGGGUUUCACUGUGUCGAAUAUUGCACUAACCCAUGUAAGAAUAUGGU